rnacentral:misc_RNA from 1 species
GGGGAACCCUUGCCAGAACCGACUGGAUCUAAGCCAUGGUCGUUCAAUUCGUCAAGAUUUUCAAAUACAGUAGCUUUAGUAUCAAAAUAUGGAGAUUCCAAGGCCAACUCAGGCUGUUUGCUCAGAGAAUUGAGUCGCACAUCACAUUGGAUCAAUUUUUCAUAAUGCUUAUUCAAGACACCAACUGGACACUGUAGAAAGUGUUGCCUGUUCAAGCUAGCCUGUCCACCAGUGAAAUCUGAAGUCGCUUGCCAUAGAGUAUGUUUUCUGGGUUGUGGAUUUGUCUCCUUGAAGAAAAGGGGCUGACGAGCCAACACAAGAGUCAAACUGCCUGGACCAUUCUCUGGACAGCUCGCCUUCAGUCCCAUGAUAUCUGACCAUUGAAUCUCAAUUUUACUCUUGAGCCCACCUUCAAGAAUUUCCCAAACAAGCUUAUGCUUAGCAAAGUAACACUUUGCCACCAAAUCACCUUCAUAUCUAGAUGCAUAUUCCCAAGUCCCUAUCCUUAAAAGUGAUCCCGAAAAAUUUGACGCCUUCAACUUGUCAGUUGCUACUGAAGUAGAAGCACCCUUUGUUCCCGUAUUGCUUACAGAAGUAGGGUUUUCAGGUGCAGUGGAGGAAGCAUUGUUUUGUGACAGCCUCAUCGUGAUUAAAUCUAGCAAAGAUGGACUCUUUCUCAAUUUCAGACCUAAAGGACUUGGCUCAUCAAGUGGAUUGUAUUCUGGAGGAGGAACUGGCAAUUCAUCAUUUCCAGCAUCCCACUGAUUAAAGCUUGAAGAAGCCGAAGACAACUUUGAUCGUUUAGUGAGAGGACCAUGUUCAUCUUCAAGAGGAUCCUCAACCUCAUAUUUCACCGGAAACGACGCCAUUCCCGACGACAUCAUCAACUCAACCAUUAAAAUCCCAAAAAAAUCCAAAAUAAAUCCCAAAAAAUGGAUUUUGCUUGAACACGAAAUUGAGAUUCAGAGAAUUCGAAUCGAGGCCUAGGAUUUUUUGGAUUUGAAUUUGUAUUGUAAAAUUGGAGAAUCCAAAAACCCUAGGAUUCAGAGAAUUUGGGGAUUUUUC